AUUGAACGCUGGCGGCAUGCCUUACACAUGCAAGUCGAACGGCAGCAUGGAGAGCUUGCUCUCUGAUGGCGAGUGGCGAACGGGUGAGUAAAGCAUCGGAACGUACCGUGUAGUGGGGGAUAACGUAGCGAAAGUUACGCUAAUACCGCAUACGCACUGAGGUGGAAAGCAGGGGAUCGCAAGACCUUGCGCUAUACGAGCGGCCGAUGUCAGAUUAGCUAGUUGGUAGGGUAAAGGCCUACCAAGGCGACGAUCUGUAGCGGGUCUGAGAGGAUGAUCCGCCACACUGGGACUGGGACACGGCCCAGACUCCUACGGGAGGCAGCAGUGGGGAAUUUUGGACAAUGGGGGCAACCCUGAUCCAGCCAUGCCGCGUGAGUGAAGAAGGCCAUCGGGUUGUAAAGCUCUUUCGGCCGGGAAGAAAUCGCACAGGCUAAUACUCUGUGUGGAUGACGGUACCGGCAUAAGAAGCACCGGCUAACUACGUGCCAGCCGCCGCAGUAA
rnacentral:rRNA from 1 species